UGGCCUGUCAAUAAGAGCAAAGACAAUUAAUUCAUACCAAUAUGCAUCACAUAUGGAACAAUAUCAAGGAGACCGCUUUCACAUCAAUUGCAGUGAAUUAUCCUGGGUAAAGCAAAAGACGAAAUUAUACCUGCUAAGAUCUGAUUCCUAAUUGAAUCAGGGAUCACCGCAGAAGGAGGCAGAAACAGAGGCAGUAGACGGAGCUGGACUGCAUUUCCCAGGGUCCUUUGGGAUGUGACGUCAUGCGCAGAGGAGCAGGUACCGUCUAUGGCAGGUACCAGAGUGACGCGGAAGUGGAUGGCACCGGCAUGUUGUGAUCUAUGGUUGUGAUUGUAGACGUGGGACAUCGCGUUGCUUCCAUGGAAUCCGUCCUGGCAUUCAUGGCAGAGCAGACCUCAUCUCAUGAAGAGCGGAUACCAGCAGGAGUCCGUAGAUUGACCGGGUCCGGAGGGCCCAGAACUUCCUCUAGGCGCGCUCGGAGCAACCGGCAGAGUGACGCUUCCUCGCCGGGUGUAUACCUGUGGAUGUAGCGACACAAUGGACGGACCGAGGGAGAUCAGUGGAACAGGAAUGCUCCGCGAGUAGAUCACCCCCAAAAAUCUGGUGCACGCCACUCGGCAAGCUGUUGGAUGGUCAUGCGGGAGCUACAGCGUGUGCUCCGGCGAGCCACUCCAUGCCAGAGGGAGCCCCACAGCUGGAGCCCGGUCUUUAAGAACAGAACCCCUUCUGCAGUCGAGGAAUGAGACUCGAUCCCCGAACGGAGACGGCAAACACGGCAACGUACACGAAGAAAAAUGUGAGAACAAGUUUGCCUAAAAGAGGGAUACACAUUCAGAUGAUUCCUGAAUAAGAUGGCAUAACUAACUACUUCAAUACCCAGGUAAGAAAGUUUCAUAGGUAGUGUGUUGGUCUACUGUAUAUGUGAGGGGUGGAAGGCUUCAGUGUAAUGUUUCUGAAGCUGGCCUUCUUUGAGUGAGUGAUAUCAUUGAGUACAUCUGUUUAGUUUUUAUUUUGUAUCCACUCUUGGGGCUACUAAUAAAUCAGCUGGUUUGUGCUUCACCUCCAGAACCUCCAUUUCAGAACUGCAAGCAUAUUUUUAAUUGGAGCACUGUGUAAUAUGUUUAUAAUUCAAUUUGUGCAUCCCUGAUGUCUCUACUUCUCUUUAUGAUCACGUCUCACUUCUGUGUGUGCACGUGGUACGACAGUCUCCUGCUCUUAUUUGGGCGCUGGAGGGGCGUUCUGUGCAAAUAUGGAAAAACUUAGUUUCAAACUUAUGAGGACGUGGCAUUCACCGAUUUAAGAACACAGGUGUAAAAACUUCUGAGGUUUAAGAACAGGUUCAUGAAGCAGCAGUAAACUUCAGUGAGAAACCCUCUUAAGAACUGAUUUAAGAAAAAAACGUAGAUGUUGUUGAAUGAGGCUUAUUGUGUGGUAAUAAUAUAGUAUGGUAUAUCCAUAUUGAUCCCAUGUAAAUGUUAAGAUAAAUAUUUUGUACUGCAUGGUACUAGCAGUAUUUGUUGGUGAAUAAACUGCACUAGUCAA